UACGGAGGGGGCUAGCGUUGUUCGGAAUUACUGGGCGUAAAGCGCGCGUAGGCGGACCUGCAAGUCGGGGGUGAAAGCCCGAGGCUCAACCUCGGAACUGCCUUCGAUACUGCGGGUCUCGAGUCCGGGAGAGGUGAGUGGAAUUCCUAGUGUAGAGGUGAAAUUCGUAGAGAUCCGGAAGAACACCGGUGGCGAAGGCGGCCUGCUGGGCAGUGGCUGACACUGAGGCGCGACAGCGUGGGGAGCAACAGG
rnacentral:rRNA from 1 species